rnacentral:ncRNA from 1 species
UGGGGUUGCGAUCACCCCACGAGGCGACAGCCGAAGUAUCGC